AUAAGUAUCCCAAAUGUAUAAAUUAUUUGAAUUAUAUAUUAUGGAUGGGUAUUAAGAUAAAGGAGGGCGUCAUAAUUACUGAUUUCUGAAUCUGACAUCUUAAUUUCAAUUUAACAUCAGUCAUUUAAAUGUUAUAUCAUCUUGCUGUAUCUGGUAAUGUAUUUAAAUGUGGAAAAUAAUAUGUAGCAUGAAUUUAUAAGUUGAUAAUUUUUAACAUAGUUUCCCAUACUUAAAGCACUAAUAUUUCUGAGCCUUAAUGCAGUAAGUUUCUCCCAGUAAAAAAGGUGAGCAAUUUUUAGAAACUACCAUAUUUUUAAAAGCUUGCACAAAACUAGGUAGGUCUAAUA
rnacentral:lncRNA from 1 species